rnacentral:rRNA from 1 species
UACGUAGGGUGCGAGCGUUAAUCGGAAUUACUGGGCGUAAAGUGUGCGCAGGCGGCCGAGCAAGUCGAGUGUGAAAGCCCCGAGCUUAACUUGGGAACUGCGCUCGAAACUACUUGGCUAGAGUGUGGCAGAGGGAGGUGGAAUUCCACGUGUAGCGGUGAAAUGCGUAGAGAUGUGGAGGAACACCGAUGGCGAAGGCAGCCCCCUGGGAUAACACUGACGCUCAUGCACGAAAGCGUGGGGAGCAAACAGG